rnacentral:rRNA from 1 species
AUUGAACGCUGGCGGCAGGCCUAACACAUGCAAGUCGAACGGUAACAGGAAGAAGCUUGCUUCUUUGCUGACGAGUGGCGGACGGGUGAGUCAUGUCUGGGAAACUGCCUGAUGGAGGGGGAUAACUACUGGAAACGGUAGCUAAUACCGCAUAACGUCGCAAGACCAAAGAGGGGGACCUUCGGGCCUCUUGCCAUCGGAUGUGCCCAGAUGGGAUUAGCUAGUAGGUGGGGUAACGGCUCACCUAGGCGACGAUCCCUAGCUGGUCUGAGAGGAUGACCAGCCACACUGGAACUGAGACACGGUCCAGACUCCUACGGGAGGCAGCAGUGGGGAAUAUUGCACAAUGGGCGCAAGCCUGAUGCAGCCAUGCCGCGUGUAUGAAGAAGGCCUACGGGUUGUAAAGUACUUUCAGCGGGGAGGAAGGGAGUAAAGUUAAUACCUUUGCUCAUUGACGUUACCCGCAGAAGAAGCACCGGCUAACUCCAUG